rnacentral:rRNA from 1 species
CCUACGGGUGGCUGCAGUGGGGAAUAUUGGGCACUGGGCGCAAGCCUGACCCAGCAAUGCCGCGUGAAGGAAGAAGGAUUUCGGGUUGUAAACUUCUUUGACAGGGGAAGAGCAGAAGACGGUACCCUGAAAACAAGCCACGGCUAACUACGUGCAAGCAGCCGCGGUAAUACGUAGGUGGCAAGCGUUGUACGGAUUUACUGGGUGUAAAGGGCGUGUAGCCGGGAAGGCAAGUCAGAUGUGAAAUCCGGAGGCUCAACCUCCGAAUUGCAUUUGAAACUGUUUGUCUUGAGUACUGGAGAGGCAGACGGAAUUCCUUGUGUAGCGGUGAAAUGCGUAGAUAUAAGGAGGAACACCAGUGGCGAAGGCGGCCGCCUGGCCUGUUACUGACGCUGAGGCACGAAAGCGUGGGGAGCAAAUAGGAUUAGAUACCCGUGUAGUC